CCCGCUGAACUUAAGCAUAUCAAUAAGCGGAGGAAAAGAAACUAACAAGGAUUCCCCUAGUAACGGCGAGUGAAGCGGGAAGAGCUCAAAUUUAAAAUCUGGCUUGCUUGCAAGUCCGAGUUGUAGUCUGAAGAAGCGUUUUCCAUGAAAGCUGAGGCACAAGUCCUUUGGAACAGGGCAUCAUAGAGGGUGAGAAUCCCGUCCAUGGUCUCAUGCAUUUCAUUUUGUGAUACGUUUUCUAAGAGUCAGGUUGUUUGGGAAUGCAGCCUAAAAUGGGUGGUAAAUUUCAUCUAAAGCUAAAUAUUGGCGAGAGACCGAUAGCGAACAAGUACCGUGAGGGAAAGAUGAAAAGAACUUUGAAAAGAGAGUUAAAAAGUACGUGAAAUUGUUGAAAGGGAACCGUUUGAAGCCAGUCUUGCUUACUUGUGAUCAAUCUUAGCUUCGGCUUGGAUGCACUCUCAAGUUAUGCAGGUCAACGUCAGUUUGAGAGGUGGGAAAAAAGUUUGAGGAAUGUGGCCUUCGGGUGUUAUAGCCUCUUACUAAAUACCAUCUCCUGGACUGAGGCUCGCAGCAAAAAUGUGGGCUGGUUUGCUCCUGAGGUGAAUCAUUAUUAAGACAGCUUGCUGACCUAGUUUUGUGGAUCUUCACGGUAGGCUAGCUUCUAAUUUGCUUAGGUCGUUGACAUAAUGGCUUUAAAUGACCCGUCUUGAAACACAGAAGGACGGAU
rnacentral:rRNA from 1 species